rnacentral:rRNA from 1 species
CCAGCAUUAAGUUGGGGACUCAUAGGAGACUGCCGGCGUCAAGCCGGAGGAGGGUGGGAUGACGUCAAGUCAUCAUGCCCCUUAUGUCCUGGGCUGCACACGUGCUACAAUGGCCGGUACAAUGGGCUGCGAUGCCGCGAGGCGGAGCGAAUCCCAUAAAACCGGUCCCAGUUCGGAUCGGAGGCUGCAACCCGCCUCCGUGAAGUCGGAGUUGCUAGUAAUCGCGGAUCAGCAUGCCGCGGUGAAUACGUUCCCGGGCCUU